rnacentral:rRNA from 1 species
CGUAAGAUGACGUGUAGGUGAAAGCUUACAUCUCUUCGGAGCAUUUUACGAGGUGCUGCAUGGUUGUCGUCAGCUCGUGUCGUGAGAUCGUGGGUUAAGUCCGUAACGAGCGCAACCCUUGUCCUUAGUUACCAGCACGUUAUGGUGGGCACUCUAAGGAGACUGCCGGUGACAAACCGGAGGAAGGUGGGGAUGACGUCAAGUCAUCAUGGCCCUUACGGCCUGGGCUACACACGUGCUACAAUGGUCGGUACAAAGGGUUGCCAAGCCGCGAGGUGGAGCUAAUCCCAUAAAACCGAUCGUAGUCCGGAUCGCAGUCUGCAACUCGACUGCGUGAAGUCGGAAUCGCUAGUAAUCGUGAAUCAGAAUGUCACGGUGAAUACGUUCCCGGGCCUU